CCGGGUAUAGCCCAGUUGGUAGGGCGGGUGCUUUGGGAGCAUCAGGCCGCGCGUUCGAGUCGCGCUACUCGGACCA
rnacentral:tRNA from 1 species